GGGUUUUCUUCACCUUCUCCUGAGAAAGGUUGUUUUUGAACAAAUUCUAUGUAUUCGGGGUCUAUCUCAAAACUAGAUGCUAUGAUAGGCUUUGAAGAUUUUGGUGGUUCGAGAUGUGUGCCUGUAGGUCUAUGAAAUUCAUAGAUAGACAUGUUUGAAUUCAUGAUAGACCAGAGAUCAAGGAUUAGAUAAGAAGAAAGAAUAGCAGAGAUAAGGCAAAAGAUAAAAGGAAAUAUAUUUUUUUAUUAUUUUUUUAGAAAAUGAUUAAGCUAGUUCGUAGUCAACUCAGGAACCGUUUCCCCGGCAACGGCGCCAAAAAGCUUGUUGACACUUGCUAACACCACUUGAAUACUAGGUUGUCAUCCCCAGCAUGGCACUAGAGUGUACUAUGGUAUUUAUACGCACAUAGAUAAAUCCGCAAGCGCACGGAUACCGUUGUAGCUUUUACCCGGUUAAAGGUUUUAUCGUAUCCACAGGGAAACGGGAGAACUGAUCUACGCUCUAACUUAACCUAGAUAGAUAGGUAGGCGUAAAUAGGAAAGAUGGUAGAAUUGAAUAAGAACAAUAUUAAAGGUAAGAUAACAGUGGGUGAUAAUAUGGGAAUAGAGAGUAGAGCAAUCUAGUAUAUGGGCGAUGGUAGGUGAAUAGAGAGGAUAACUAUGGUUUCUCUACUUCAAAGGGCUAUGUCUAUGUCUAGGACGAACCACAUGAUAAGAAUACACCACAAAGGAU
rnacentral:lncRNA from 1 species